rnacentral:rRNA from 1 species
AUUGAACGCUGGCGGCAUGCCUUACACAUGCAAGUCGAACGGUAACAGAUCUUCGGAUGCUGACGAGUGGCGAACGGGUGAGUAAUACAUCGGAACGUGCCCGAGAGUGGGGGAUAACGAGGCGAAAGCUUUGCUAAUACCGCAUACGAUCUCAGGAUGAAAGCAGGGGACCGCAAGGCCUUGCGCUCACGGAGCGGCCGAUGGCAGAUUAGGUAGUUGGUGGGAUAAAAGCUCACCAAGCCGACGAUCUGUAGCUGGUCUGAGAGGACGACCAGCCACACUGGGACUGAGACACGGCCCAGACUCCUACGGGAGGCAGCAGUGGGGAAUUUUGGACAAUGGGCGAAAGCCUGAUCCAGCCAUGCCGCGUGCAGGAUGAAGGCCUUCGGGUUGUAAACUGCUUUUGUACGGAACGAAAAGGACUGCCCUAAUACGGUGGUCCCGUGACGGUACCGUAAGAAUAAGCACCGGCUAACUACGUGCCAGCAGCCGCCGCUGUAA